rnacentral:rRNA from 1 species
GACGGAGGAUGCAAGUGUUAUCCGGAAUCACUGGGCGUAAAGCGUCUGUAGGUGGUUUAAUAAGUCAACUGUUAAAUCUUGAGGCUCAACCUCAAAAUCGCAGUCGAAACUAUUAGGCUAGAGUAUAGUAGGGGUAAAGGGAAUUUCCAGUGGAGCGGUGAAAUGCGUAGAGAUUGGAAAGAACACCGAUGGCGAAGGCACUUUACUGGGCUAUUACUAACACUCAGAGACGAAAGCUAGGGUAGCAAAUGGU